CAGGGAGACAACAAAAUGUUUAAUAUUAUUAUUUUGUCACCUUAGGUCGAUCGGUGUCUUACGUUCUUAAUUUAUUAAGAAUUUCAUUUCCUAAGUUAUUCUAGGUCACACCCAUUAUUUUUCCUGGGCCAUUAGCUCAGGUGGUUAGAGCGCACCCCUGAUAAGGGUGAGGUCCCUGGUUCAAGUCCAGGAUGGCCCAUAUCUCUAUGUUGGGGGUAUAGCUCAGUUGGUAGAGCGCCUGCUUUGCAAGCAGGAUGUCAGCGGUUCGAGUCCGCUUACCUCCACUGAUUACCACCUCUUCCAUAAUGUGUAUAAAGGAAAUUUUUUGAGUUGUGAUCAAAUUCUGAACGAAUCUAGCUUCCUAAUAAAAUUAUUAAGAUGCUGGACUCAUUGAAUUAAUUUCAUUGUUUUCAGAGAACCUUGACAACUGCAUAGAUUAUUUUUAAAGACAAUAAGCAUCUUUAGUGAUGCAGAUUUAUUAUUUGUGCGAAUGCAUUAAUAACAAUUCUAUUAAGCUGAUGCUUCAAUUUUGAAGUUAUU
rnacentral:tRNA from 1 species